UUUAACGAAGUUCCUAUAUAAUGUAAAACCAAACCAAUCAAGAACAUAAACCAACCAUUUAACCAAUAAAUUAAACAACAAUAAUUUGUAACAGCAGGAGGCCUUCUAUCUCAUAAACAUUUCCUAAUUCUCAAACUCAUACAUCUCAAUUCUUUUCUAUGCACCAAACUCUUAGCUGACUGCUUUAGUCUAGUGUAUAUCUAGGAGCAUUUUGAUAUGCUUUAGCUGUCAUAUUUUCAAGCCCUCGACCUUCUGUGCUGUUUGCGUUUGGAUUAGGACAUGUUGCUUCAGUUGAAUUGCCACAAAUCUUUGGUUUUGUAUCAACACCGAGAUAAUUUGUCAAGACUUUUUUUACUCCGAACCCACGACGGUGAAGCUUGUUACUGUUGUUGGAGGUGGUGGUGUUGUGGAGAAAUGGAGUUUUCUCCCCCAUUGCAGGGCUAAUAAGUGGUGGUACAGGCGAAAAGCUUGGUGUGCUAAAUGUUUUAUACGGAGUGCCCGAGACAGGCAUGGAGUAAGGGAUUGAAACUUUCUUGUGAGCAAUGACACUGACUGUGGUAACUGAUAAUUUGUCUGAAUGUUUAGUCAAGUCAUCCACAUACAGCAAAUCAUCGAUACGAGCCACGGUGUUAAAUGCCAAGCUCUCCAGAACUCUUGAAUAGCUUUCAAGAAUGGAUUUUCCAACAUCCUUGUUGAAUUGGAUUUUACUGGUAUCCAAUGUGGUCUGGCUAAGACUAGGGAAACGCUGCUUCAAGGAAAGCAGGAGACUUUCUGCUCUUUCUGCAAGCAGUUCCCUCUUAUCUACAUCAACCAUUAAGUCCUUGACCAUCUCCCAUGAUGACUUUGCAGCGGACCGGUUUGGAUUAGUUUGAGGUUUUGAAUGAGCUCUCCUACGCCACGCAUAGAUUGCAGAUUCCACACGGUUUGCAAUCUCCAGAGCAACAUGCUCAGUGGACAGGUCUAGGCAAUCAAGUAGGCACUCUGCAGAGAACAGAUCUGAAGUAAUAUACCGGUAUAUGAAGUCCCCUAGACAAGCUCUCCCGUUCUUUGGAAGUGACUCCAAGUAUGAAUCAGGAACAUCCAUUUCAGCUAAAGCAAUGCUGUUUAUUGCCAUUGCAGCUUUUAGUAUUUGAUUUGUGCAUUCCCGUGUGUGGUUCAACUGCUUUCUUGAAUCAUCACUAAGACCACCUGCAGGGACACGGGGUACAGGCAGCCACCACUUCUCCUCUUGCCUCUGAAUUGCUUUGCGGAAAGAGGUUGACCCAUCUGCAUCUGGGGCUACAAUGCCUUGAUCAACAUACCAAAACUCUGCAAUGGAAAAAGUAUCUAGUAUUUCCUGCCAUGAAGGUUCAGAAGGUUGACGAUUCAGAAUACAAGUUUACUAAUGCCCAAAAAUGAGCAAAGUAUUGCUAAAUCUUACAAGAAGCAUAUUGUCCAGUUUACGCAGAGCUGGGAGAUUGAUAAAAAGAUCUGAUCUUGGCCUGCAAGUCAUGAUCUGUAAAAUGCAGAAAAAUAGUAACUUGGGAGAAAGAAAGGGCAGGAAAAAUAAGAAUAACUCCUGAUAUCCAAAUUCCUUGGAUUUUGACCUCAUUUGUAGUCUGCUCUUAAGGGAUUUCUUUACUGGCAUCUUAUGUUGGUUCAGCUUAAUAAUAGUUGAGAAGACCAAACCCAUUAGCCAAAUAGCUGAAUUAAGAUACAUAUCCCAGGGACCUCUCAGGUCCCAAACAGGGAAAUUUCUGGGAUAUAAAUUUUUUUAAUCCUACCAAUUUUUCAUUGACCCUCUCAUCAGAAAAGAGGUCCUACACAGCUUAACCAAGUUUUAUUUGUAUAAUUCUGAAUUAAAUUGGGACUAGAAGUUGGCUCACCUCUAGCUUACUACCAUCAGGAAAUGUUUGCCAAGAGGGUAUUAAUUCCACAAUGUGAUCACCAACACAAAGAAGCCACUCCAUCUCUCUUCUCCACAUUGAUUUCUUCUCUGGAGGCAGUGGCUCCAGUCUCCACAGUUGUCCAAAAAUAGUAACACAGAGGUUAGUAAUGGCAUUUGAGAUAGCCAAAGCUGUGCAAACCCCUUUCCCAGACCCUGACAUGUCUUCACCAAGCAACAAUUUUGCGAACCUCUCUUUCAUCAUAUCAAUCUCAGAAAUCUUCGAUCUCGGCUUUUUAAAUUCGGAAUCCUCUAAACGGGUUUUCUCUUGAUCUUCAUUUCUACUAGAGGCUAAUGAGCUCUUGCACUCUCCAGCUUUCCUAAUCGGCCAACCCAAAGGAGAAGGCGAGUCACACCUAACAGUCUUCACUCCCUCGGUAGAACAAGACUCAGAACUCGAGCUGCUGCUAUCUCUUGAUUCAGUCGCCGACUCAGUCACCGACUCAGACCCAUUUUUCCUCUUCUCAAAUCCUCCGGCUGAACCAUUCUUAUUCACCGUACUUUCCAUUGUUGAUGAAAAAGCAGAAAUUUUUUCGAAACCCAAAAGCUGAGAUUCACGUAAGAUUCACCAAAAACAUCUUCUUUCACUCACAGAAACCCCAUAAAUGAUAAACCCAAAAGCUCAAACAGAUUGAUUUUGAGGUGGGUCAUGGUAGAUUCAGGUUGCAGUUAAUACACAUGAUUGACAUAUAUAUAUAUAUAUGUGAGGUGAAAGAUAUUCAGACUUGGUUCACUAUGUGCUAAGUUACAUUCUCUUUGCUCCUCCUCUCUCUCUCUAGUUGAAAUUUAAUUUUGAAGCUCAAAACGGUAACUGAUAGCGGACACAUGCCAUGGCUAACGUCUCUCUUUGAUUUUGAUUUCCUCU
rnacentral:misc_RNA from 1 species